rnacentral:rRNA from 1 species
AGAGCGAACGCUGGCGGCAGGCCUAAUACAUGCAAGUCGAACGCACCUUCGGGUGAGUGGCGGACGGGUGAGUAACACGUGGGAACGUGCCUUUUGGUUCGGAAUAAUCCGGGGAAACCUGGCCUAAUACCGGAUGUGCCCUUCGGGGGAAAGAUUUAUCGCCAUUAGAGCGGCCCGCGUCUGAUUAGCUUGUUGGUGGGGUAAUGGCCCACCAAGGCUACGAUCAGUAGCUGGUCUGAGAGGAUGAUCAGCCACACUGGGACUGAGACACGGCCCAGACUCCUACGGGAGGCAGCAGUAGGGAAUCUUGCGCAAUGGGCGAAAGCCUGACGCAGCCAUGCCGCGUGAAUGAUGAAGGUCUUAGGAUUGUAAAAAAUUCUUUCAGCGGGGAAGAUAAAUGACUGUACCCGCAGAAGAAGCUCCGGCUAACUUCGCGCCAGCAGCCGC